rnacentral:rRNA from 1 species
CCCAAUGAAAAAUUUUAAUGGCCGCAGUAUUUUGACUGUGCAAAGGUAGCAUAAUCAUUAGUUUUUUAAUUAGAAACUAGAAUGAAAGGUUGGACGAGAAAAUAGCUGUCUCUUUAUAAAUUUUUUAUAAUUUUAUUUUUAAGUUAAAAAGCUUAAAUAUAUUUAAAAGACGAGAAGACCCUAUAGAGUUUUAUUAAUUUUUUAAAUAAAGUUAUUAAUAGAAUUUUUAAAUUUUUAUAAAUAAAUUAAUUUUAUUGGGGUGAUAGAAAAAUUUAAUGAACUUUUUUAAAAAAUAAAAACAUUUAUUUAUGAAUAUUUGAUCCAUUAUUAUGAUUACAAGAAUAAAUUACCUUAGGGAUAACAGCGUAAUUUCUUUUUAGAGUUCAAAUCGAUAAAGAAGUUUGCGACCUCGAUGUUGGAUUAAAAUUAAGGUUUGGUGUAGAAGCUUAAUUCUUAGGUCUGUUCGACCUUUAAAAUUUUACAUGAUCUGAGUUUAAACCGGUGUAAGCCAGGUUGGUUUCUAUCUUUAAAUAAAUCUAAUAUUUUAGUACGAAAGGACCAGAUAUUUUAAAUAUUUUAUAUUAUUGAAUAUUAUUAAU